UACGGAGGGAGCUAGCGUUGUUCGGAAUUACUGGGCGUAAAGCGCGCGUAGGCGGCUUUGUAAGUUAGAGGUGAAAGCCCGGGGCUCAACUCCGGAAUUGCCUUUAAGACUGCAUCGCUAGAGUCCGGGAGAGGUGAGUGGAAUUCCGAGUGUAGAGGUGAAAUUCGUAGAUAUUCGGAAGAACACCAGUGGCGAAGGCGGCUCACUGGACCGGCAUUGACGCUGAGGUGCGAAAGCGUGGGGAGCAAACAGG
rnacentral:rRNA from 1 species